UUAAUCUGAUACCUGCCGGAUGUGUUGUCGAGCAGGGCAGAGUUCAUGUUUUGCAUACCAAAUUGAAACAAGAAAGUGACUUUGUCUGGGAUAUCUGAGAGAACCCAUUGCCAAGAAGCAUAUAAUAAAAUGUCACUAAGAUGAUACACACAGUGUCUCUGCUCCAGAUGAAGAAUCAGAUUUCUCCUGAUGAAAAAUUGGGGAUAUUGCACAAUUUAUGGUCACCACAUGGAAGGGCAUAAACCGGGCUGGGAAGAGUUGGAUGUGGUGGAUCCCCAGCUGAUUCGGCAGGCUCCCGGCGCUUUCUAGUCCCUGUGCACAGCUUCCGGCUGAGCUGGCCUUCAGUCAACCCAGAGGCUCCUGAAUGGCAAUUAUAUGUGCUGAAACUUUACACUGGCUUAUCUUCACCAUUUAUGCUGGCUUCCCCUGAGUUGGAUUGCUCUGUAGUCUAACA